GAUGAACGCUGGCGGCGUGCCUAAUACAUGCAAGUCGAGCGAACGGACGAGAAGCUUGCUUCUCUGAUGUUAGCGGCGGACGGGUGAGUAACACGUGGAUAACCUACCUAUAAGACUGGGAUCACUUCGGGAAACCGGAGCUAAUACCGGAUAAUCUUUUGAACCGCAUGGUUCAAUAGUGAAAGACGGUCUUGCUGUCACUUAUAGAUGGAUCCGCGCUGCAUUAGCUAGUUGGUAAGGUAACGGCUUACCAAGGCAACGAUGCAUAGCCGACCUGAGAGAGUGAUCGGCCACACUAGAACUGAGACACGGUCCAGGCUCCUACGGGAGGCAGCAGUAGGGAAUCGUCCGCAGUGGGCGAAAGCCUGACGGAGCAACGCCGCGUGAGUGAUGAAGGUCUUCGGAUCGUAAAACUCUGUUAUUAGGGAAGAACAGAUGUGUAAGUAGCUGUGCACAUCUUGACGGUACCUAAUCAGAAAGCCACGGCUAACUACGUG
rnacentral:rRNA from 1 species